rnacentral:other from 1 species
GUUCUGAUUAGCUUUCAUUUUAGUAUCUUUGAACCAUUGGAAACAGC